rnacentral:misc_RNA from 1 species
CAACUGCGAUAAUUAGUGCGAACUGCAGAAACCUUGAACACAAAACAUUCGAAUGCACAUUGCGCCAUUGGAGUUACAUCCAUUGGCACGCCUGGUUCAGGGUCGUUAUCAUAAAACGCAAUGCACUGCGUGUUGUUGUCGUGAGAUCAUGUCUUCAUAGACGUGUUCUUGCGUUAUGUUUGAGCCCGGCUGUGGGAUUUGGUUGUGCCAGCGCGAAUUUGUCAGUUUUUUUCGCGUUUUACGCACCGUAACUCGGGCUGACCAUUUCUCAUUUUGCUGUGGUGGAAUGCCUGGCAUUUGGCGUUCCGUCUUUGAACUUUCGACCUGAACUCAGACGUGAGUACCCGCUGAACUUAA